rnacentral:rRNA from 1 species
AGUGAACGCUGGCGGUAGGCCUAACACAUGCAAGUCGAACGGCAGCACAGUAAGAGCUUGCUCUUACGGGUGGCGAGUGGCGGACGGGUGAGGAAUACAUCGGAAUCUACUUUUUCGUGGGGGAUAACGUAGGGAAACUUACGCUAAUACCGCAUACGACCUACGGGUGAAAGCAGGGGAUCUUCGGACCUUGCGCGAUUGAAUGAGCCGAUGUCGGAUUAGCUGGUUGGCGGGGUAAAGGCCCACCAAGGCGACGAUCCGUAGCUGGUCUGAGGGGAUGAUCGGCAAAAUGGGAGUGAGGACACGGUCCGACUGCCACAGGGAGCAGGCAGUGGGGAUAAUGGGAAAUGGGGCAAAGGCCUGAUCCGGCCAAACCGGGAGGGUGAGAAGGCCCUUGGGGUGGUAAGGCCUUUUGGUUGGAAAAGAAAUGCAGCCGUUUAAAACCCCGUGGUCUGACGGUACCCAAAGAAUAAGCACCGGCUAACUUCGUG